AGAGUUUGAUCCUGGCUCAGGAUGAACGCUGGCGGCGUGCUUAACACAUGCAAGUCGAACGAUCCUUCGGGAUAGUGGCGGACGGGUGAGUAACGCGUGGGAAUCUGCCCUCAGGAGGGGGAUAACGGCUGGAAACGGCCGCUAAUACCCCAUAUGCCGAGAGGUGAAAUGAAUUUCGCCUGAGGAUGAGCCCGCGUCUGAUUAGCUAGUUGGUGGGGUAAAGGCCUACCAAGGCGACGAUCAGUAGCUGGUCUGAGAGGAUGAUCAGCCACACUGGGACUGAGACACGGCCCAGACUCCUACGGGAGGCAGCAGUGGGGAAUUUUCCGCAAUGGGCGAAAGCCUGACGGAGCAACGCCGCGUGAGGGAUGAAGGCCUCUGGGCUGCAAACCUCUUUUCUCAAGGAAGAAGAACUGACGGUACUUGAGGAAUAAGCCACGGCUAAUUCCGUGCCAGCAGCCGCGGUAAUACGGGAGUGGCAAGCGUUAUCCGGAAUUAUUGGGCGUAAAGCGUCCGCAGGCGGCCUUGUAAGUCUGUUGUUAAAGCGUGGAGCUCAACUCCAUUUAAGCAAUGGAAACUACAAGGCUGGAGUGUGGUAGGGGCAGAGGGAAUUCCCGGUGUAGCGGUGAAAUGCGUAGAUAUCGGGAAGAACACCAGUGGCGAAGGCGCUCUGCUGGGCCAUAACUGACGCUCAUGGACGAAAGCCAGGGGAGCGAAAGGGAUUAGAUACCCCUGUAGUCCUGGCCGUAAACGAUGAACACUAGGUGUCGGGGGAAUCGACCCCCUCGGUGUCGUAGCCAACGCGUUAAGUGUUCCGCCUGGGGAGUACGCACGCAAGUGUGAAACUCAAAGGAAUUGACGGGGGCCCGCACAAGCGGUGGAGUAUGUGGUUUAAUUCGAUGCAACGCGAAGAACCUUACCAGGGUUUGACAUCCUGCGAAUCCCUUGGAAACGAGGGAGUGCCUUCGGGAGCGCAGUGACAGGUGGUGCAUGGCUGUCGUCAGCUCGUGUCGUGAGAUGUUGGGUUAAGUCCCGCAACGAGCGCAACCCACGUCUUUAGUUGCCAGCAUUCAGUUGGGCACUCUAGAGAGACCGCCGGUGAUAAACCGGAGGAAGGUGUGGAUGACGUCAAGUCAUCAUGCCCCUUACAUCCUGGGCUACACACGUACUACAAUGCUACGGACAAAGGGCAGCAAGCUCGCGAGAGUUAGCAAAUCCCAUAAACCGUGGCUCAGUUCAGAUCGUAGGCUGCAACUCGCCUACGUGAAGGAGGAAUCGCUAGUAAUCGCAGGUCAGCAUACUGCGGUGAAUACGUUCCCGGGCCUUGUACACACCGCCCGUCACACCAUGGAAGUUGGCCAUGCCCGAAGUCGUUACUCCAACCCUUGUGGAGGAGGACGCCGAAGGUGGGGCUGAUGACUGGGGUGAAGUCGUAACAAGGUA
rnacentral:rRNA from 1 species